rnacentral:rRNA from 1 species
UACAGAGGGCGCAAGCGUUAUCCGGAAUUAUUGGGCGUAAAGAGCUCGUAGGCGGUUCGCUAAGUCGGGUGUGAAACCUCCAGGCUCAACCUGGAGACGCCACCUGAUACUGGUGUGACUCGAGUCCGGUAGGGGAGCGUGGAAUUCCUGGUGUAGCGGUGAAAUGCGCAGAUAUCAGGAGGAACACCAGCGGCGAAGGCGGCGCUCUGGGCCGGAACUGACGCUGAGGAGCGAAAGCGUGGGUAGCAAACAGG